rnacentral:rRNA from 1 species
GUUUGAUUCUGGCUCAGAUUGAACGCUGGCGGGAUGCUUUACACAUGCAAGUCGAACGGCAGCACGGACUUCGGUCUGGUGGCGAGUGGCGAACAGGUGAGUAAUGUAUCGGAACGUGCCUAGUAGCGGGGGAUAACUUACGCGAGAAAGCGUAGCUAAUACCACAUACGCCCUUCGGGGGAAAGCGGGGACCUUCCCGGGCCUCGCACUAUUAGAGCGGCCGAUAUCGGAUUGGCUGGUUGGUGGGGGUAACGGCUCACCAAGGCGACGAUCCGUAGCUGGUUUGAGAGGACGACCAGCCACACUGGGACUGAGACACGGCCCAGACUCCUACGGGAGGCAGCAGUGGGGGAAUUUUGGACAAUGGGGGAAACCCUGAUCCAGCCAUCCCGCGUGUGCGAUGAAGGCCUUCGGGUUGUAAAGCACUGGCAGGAAAGAAACGGCACAGGAUAAUACCCCGUGCAACUGACAGUACCUGCAGAAUAAGCACCGGCUAACUACGUGCCAGCAGCCGCGGUAGCCGUAAGUGCAAGCGUUAAUCGGAAUUACUGGGCGUAAAGCGUGCGGGCGGUUUGGAAGAAAGAUGUGAAAUCCCGAGCUUAACUUUGGAACUGCAUUUUUAACUACCGAGCUAGAGUGUGUCAGAGGAGGUGGAAUUCCGCGUGUAGCAGUGAAAUGCGUAGAUAUGCGGAGGAACACCAUUGGCGAAGGCAGCCUCCUGGGAUAACACUGACGCUCAUGCACGAAAAGCGUGGGAGCAAACGGGAUUAGAUACCCUGGUAGUCCACGCCCUAAACGAUGUCAACUAGCUGUUGGGGCCUUCGGGCCUUGGUAGCGCAGCUAACGCGUGAAGUUGACCGCCUGGGGAGUACGGUCGCAAGAUUAAAACUCAAAGGAAUUGACGGGGACCCGCACAAGCGGUGGAUGAUGUGGAUUAAUUCGAUGCAACGCGAAAAACCUUACCUACCCUUGACAUGUCUGGAAUCCCGAAGAAGAGAUUUGGGAGUGCUCGCAAGAGAACCGGAACACAGGUGCUGCAUGGCUGUCGUCAGCUCGUGUCGUGAGAUGUUGAGUUAGAAGUCCCGCAACGAGCGCAACCCUUGUCAUUAGUUGCUACGAAAGGGCACUCUAAUGAGACUGCCGGUGACAAACCGGAGGAAGGUGGGGAUGACGUCAAAGUCCUCAUGGCCCUUAUGGGUAGGGCUUCACACGUCAUACAAUGGUCGGGACAGAGGGUCGCCAACCCGCGAGGGGAGCCAAUCCCAGAAACCCGAUCGUAGUCCGGAUCGCAGUCUACAACUCGACUGCGUGAAGUCGGAAUCGCUAGUAAUCGCGGAUCAGCAUGUCGCGGUGAAUACGUUCCCGGGUCUUGUACACACCGCCCGUCACACCAUGGGUGGGUUUUACCGAAGUAGUUAGCCUAACCGUAAGGAGGCGAUUACCACGGUAAGUUGUGAAAGUUGAAGUCACGUAACAAGGUAGCU